UACAGAGGUCUCAAGCGUUGUUCGGAUUCAUUGGGCGUAAAGGGUGCGUAGGCGGCGCGGUAAGUCGGGUGUGAAAUUUCGAGGCUUAACUUCGAAACUGCAUUCGAUACUGCCGUGCUAGAGGACUGGAGAGGAGACUGGAAUUUACGGUGUAGCGGUGAAAUGCGUAGAUAUCGUAAGGAAGACCAGUGGCGAAGGCGGGUCUCUGGGCCGAUACUGACGCUGAGGAGCGAAAGCGUGGGGAGCGAACAGG
rnacentral:rRNA from 1 species